rnacentral:rRNA from 1 species
GUAGGGAAUCUUCCGCAAUGGGCGAAAGCCUGACGGAGCAACGCCGCGUGAGUGAUGAAGGCCUUCGGGUCGUAAAACUCUGUUAUUAGGGAAGAACAAAUGUGUAAGUAACUAUGCACGUCUUGACGGUACCUAAUCAGAAAGCCACGGCUAACUACGUGCCAGCAGCCGCGGUAAUACGUAGGUGGCAAGCGUUAUCCGGAAUUAUUGGGCGUAAAGCGCGCGUAGGCGGUUUCUUAAGUCUGAUGUGAAAGCCCACGGCUCAACCGUGGAGGGUCAUUGGAAACUGGGAAACUUGAGUGCAGAAGAGGAAAGUGGAAUUCCAUGUGUAGCGGUGAAAUGCGCAGAGAUAUGGAGGAACACCAGUGGCGAAGGCGACUUUCUGGUCUGUAACUGACGCUGAUGUGCGAAAGCGUGGGGAUCAA